rnacentral:rRNA from 1 species
GACGAACGCUGGCGGCGCGCUUAACACAUGCAAGUCGAGCGAAGCGGCGGACGGGUGAGUAACACGUGAGUAACCUGCCUUAGACAUUGGGAUAGCCUCGGGAAACCGGGAUUAAUACCAAAUGGUCUAAGAUGGACUCGCGUCCCAUUAGCUAGUUGGUGGGUAACGGCCCACCAAGGCGACGAUGGGUAGACGGCGUGAGGAGGUGAACGGGCACAUUGGAACUGAGAAACGGUCCAAACUCCACGGGAUGGAGAAGUGGGGAAUAUUGCACAAUGGAGGGAACUCUGAGUCAUGGACGCCUCAUGAACGAAGAAGGCUUUUGAAUCGUAAAGUUCUUUUAUAUGGGAAGCGGUACCAUAAGAAAAAGCCCCGGCUAACUACGUGCCAGCAGCCGCGGUAAUAC